AUGAAAAUAUAUGAGUCAUUCACAAAGAAAAGGACGGAAGCAUUCAAAUCCCUUCUAAAAUCUGUAUUGAAGCAACAAAAUCCAAAUUUAAGUGAGGAUGCCGUGGAUAACAUGAUGGAGCAUGCUUUAGGAAUUGAAAAUAGUGCAGCACACCAUUCCUCUACUUCGACCCAUCUUCCUAGAAAGUUUGGAUCCGAAGAUCAUGAAGAUGAAUGA